UCCAGCAGUUAGGUGGAUGGGAUGCUUAUAUUGAGACUAUUCAAGAAGCGAUGAGACAAGGGCAAGCUGGAAUGUAAGACCAAGUAGCAUGCAGAUUUUUUAUCGGAUUCUUUUUUACGUCCUGCUUCCUAUCGGAAUUGUAGUUGCCGUAAGUAAAGGAUUGAGUUAUUUUCCUGCGGUUGUAACCUGCUCAAUAAAAGACUAUACCGGAUGGGAUUGCCCAGGGUGUGGUGGACAAAGAGCAAUCGAUGCAAUCAUUAAAGGAAAAUUUAAAGAUGCAUUCUAUUAUAAUCAGCUGAUAUAUCUUUACCUAGGAGUCAUGCUCUAUAUAUAUGUACUCUUUGUGGAAAGCUAUAUACUGAAAAACAAAAGAUUUAUGCAGCGAUUUGGAUUUAGUAAUACGUUUGCAUUUCUCUUUGUAGGAAUAAUACUCUUCUUUUUUAUUAUAAGAAAUGUAUAAAAAGGUUCGAUUGUUUGCAAUCGAACCUUUUUUUGUUUAGAUCACAUGGAUUUAAUCGUUUCUUUGUUUAAAAUCUUUUAUUAGUUUGCUGAUAUUGAGUUUUGUGUAUUUAUUUUUAGUUAGAUUUUUAAUUAAAUAGAUUUUUAGUUAAAAUUAGCAUUAUUGUUAGUUUUAUGCUUAACUUUCACGACCUAAAAUUAGAAACAACCAAAAGACAGAAUUUAUGAAAAAAAAUACCUUGUUGUUAUUCAGCUUGUUUUCCUUGUGGGGAGUGAGCAUGAAUGCGCAAACGGAACAAAUUCGUAAAAAAAUUAUUUCUACUUACGAUAAGUUGAAUGUAGAAGAAGCUAAGGCCUUUGAAAAAGCGAGAAUUGAAGAGAAAGAAUUCGCUUAUAAAAUGGCUAAAGAAAACAAUAAACCAAUUUCAGGAAUUACGGAAGAUGGUAGAGUGUUUUCUUUACAGCGAAUUAAUGAAAAUGGUUCGUAUAUAUACUAUACUACAAGUAAUGCAGGAAGUAGAAAAACAACAAGAGUAAAUGAUAUAGCACCAGGUGGAAGCUUAGGUUUAAACUUAGAUGGAACAGGAAUGCUUGUAGGGGUAUGGGAUGGUCAACCAGCUUUAGAUACACAUGUGGAAUUUCAAGGAGAUACGGGUGGAAGUCGUAUGACAUUGAGAAGGCCUUUGCUUAAUCUUGGUACAGCUUCACAAGAUGAACGUUUGAGUUUUGAACGUGGACGAUCACAUGCUACACACGUAUCGGGAACAAUCGCUGCAAAAGGAGUCAAUGCUUCUGCAAAAGGAAUGGCGCCAGCUGCGAGAAUAAUUAGUUAUGAUUGGGAUAGAGAUACGCAAUAUAUGCGUCAAGCUGCAAGAACAGAUGCGUUAUUGGUAUCGAAUCACUCCUACGGAUAUACAGCAAUUGACGAUGGCGGACGUCCAGUGCUCGCAGUUAGGGAUUUCGGAACGUAUGAUUUUACAAGUGCUGAUUUUGAUAAACUUACUUUUGAAUAUAAAUACUAUCAACCAGUUAUUGCAGCUGGGAAUGAUAGAGAUAAUUUUAGAAUCAUUAACCCUACUAAAAAUGGAAAUGAUUUACUUACAGGAUCUGCGGUAGCUAAAAAUACAAUUGUUGUAGCAGCAGUUCAAGAAGUUGCUAACUAUACGGGGCCUGCAAGUGUAGUAAUGUCUGAGUUUAGUAACUUUGGACCUACAAAUGAUUUUCGUAUUAAACCCGAUAUUUCGUCUAAAGGGGUAAGAGUAUUUUCUAGUAAUUACGAAUUGCCAACACCUAUAACAGGAGUGCCUAGAACUAAUUUAUAUUCAAAUUCUAGUGGUACAUCCAUGGCCGCUCCUUCAGUGACAGGUGUGAUUGCCUUAUGGCAACAAUGGGCGAUGGAGAAAAAUAACAAUGCAUUCAAGUCAGCAACAAUUCGCGCGUUGAUGGCACAUACUGCUGAUGAAGCUGGAAGUGCAAAAGGACCAGAUCAUAAAUUUGGAUGGGGAUUAAUCAAUGCAAAAGGGGGUGUUCAAAUUCUGGAAGGAAGUAAAGUGAGUGGUGUAGUUUUAGAAGAGAAUGUAUUAGUACAAGGUUCAACAUAUGAAAAACAGUUUUCAGUAGGGGAAAGUGGAAUUAAUGUUAUUGUUACAAUUGCUUGGACUGACCCAGAAGGUUCAUUAACGAAUGGAGAUAACUCGGAUGAAAAUUAUGCAAAGAAUAAUCCUUCUUUAGUGAAUGAUUUAGAUUUACGUGUAUUUAAAGACGGAGUAGAGUAUUUGCCUUGGCGAUUAAAUAAAGACUUCAAUAAUCUAGUUGCUCAAAAAGGAGAUAAUAAUGUUGAUAAUAUUGAGAAAAUUGAAAUUGAAGGAGCGGAAGCUGGUAUUUAUACAGCGAAAGUAACGCAUAAAGGUGUAUUAAGAGGAGGAAGCCAAGAGUUUUCAAUUAUUAUGAGCCGUAGCGAUUUCAAUAAUUUAUCUACUGAAGAGUUUGAGUUGACAGAUUUAUCUUUUGCUAUUUGGCCAAAUCCAGUAGUGGAUCAGUUGAAUGUAACGAUUCCAGAAGAGGUUAAUGUGAAAGGGAUGUCUAUUCAGGUAUUUGAUAUGACAGGUCGUUUGGUACAAAGCUUACCAACACUAUCCUCAAAUCAAGUAGAAGUAGAUAUGAAAGGAUUGUCAUCAGGUACUUAUUUUGUGAAGAUAAAAGGCAAUGGCUUUGACAAGACAGAGCGUAUUGUAAAAAAAUAAAUAAGUAGUUAAACAACUAUAGGAAGAAGGAGAGCUGUGCUCUCCUUUUUUUGUGCUUUUUUUGAAGAAUAUUUUUGAAGAAUAUUUUUGAAGAAUAUUUUUUCUUUUAGAGAGGGCACAUGACCAUGUGUCCCUACCUAUAUAUAUAAGGAGAGCAUCAAAAAAUAAAAAUAUCUUUCCCCGCCCGUACGGGCACAUGGCAAUGCGCCCUUUGCCUGAAGCAUCUUUUUCAAAAGAUAUUCUUCUUUUAUUAGAUUCAUUUUCCAAAAACGCUCCUUGCAAAAACGCAAAAAAGCGUUUACCUCUAUAUAUACGUACGGGCACAUGGCAAUGUGCCCCUUGCUCGAACCAUCUUUUUCAAAAGAUAUUCUUCUUUUAUCUGAUGCAUUCCCCAAAAACGCUCCUUGCAAAAAGGCAAAAAAGCAAAAAAAAGCAGCAUAACACUUUCACAAGAUCCUAAUCCAUGAAAAAGUCAAAAAAAACUUUGAGUUGUAACGUGUAUAAUAAUAGGGAGUUGCGAUAAUUAUUGUAAAUACUUUUAAAAAAAGGUUGCGUAAAGUUUGGAAGUGGUGAAAAAGGUGCUACUUUUGCAUCCGCAUUAAACAAGCAGACGUUCAUAGAAAAGCAGUAGAAAAAGACUUGAGAUUGGUUCAAAAAUAUUUUUAAAAAUAAAUUUGGAUAAUCGAAAUAAAGAGUCUUAUCUUUGCAGUCCGCUUCAGUAAAUACUGCGGGUUGGCAAAAAACGAAAGAAAAUAUUUUUCAAAAAAAGUUUUGCUAAUUCGAAUAAAGUUUUUACUUUUGCGCUCGCUUUGGUAGACAGAGAAUAACGAAAAGAAGGAAAGAAAAAAAUCUCAAAUUUUUUUUGUCAAUUCAAAAAAGUUGUUUACUUUUGCACUCGCUUCGAAAAACAAGAGUAGGAGAGAGAUUGAAACACGAUCAUAGACAUAUUGGACAACAGCAUACAAAAUAAAGAGAGUAAGGUGAUUUUAGAAUCACGAAUAAACUAGCUAACUUUUUACAAUAUUAAAAAUAUACGAUGAAGAGUUUGAUCCUGGCUCAGGAUGAACGCUAGCGGCAGGCCUAACACAUGCAAGUCGAGGGGUAUAGAGAGCUUGCUUUCUAGAGACCGGCGGAUGGGUGAGUAACGCGUAUGCAACCUACCUUUUACAGGGGAAUAGCCCGGAGAAAUUCGGAUUAAUGCUCCAUGGUUUAUAUGAAUGGCAUCGUUU
rnacentral:rRNA from 1 species